rnacentral:lncRNA from 1 species
UAUAUCUCAAUGCUGUUUUCUGACAUUCUCUUUUUUGGUAGAUGAGAAAUGGGCAAAGCAUUCCAUUCAUUCCUUUUCUUAUGAUGACUGAUUGCAAAAGGCUUCCUUGCACAUGUUCUGCUGAGAUGAGGAGGAGGAGGAGGAGAAGGAAGAGAAAAUGGAACAGUGAGCCACAGACGGCUAAUCACGUCCGGAACCAAAAGCACCUGCCCUAUCUGCCUCUACAUUUGGAUUGCUGUUAUACUUUGUAUAAGAAGGUGCUAAUAACUUGGAGGCUCUUAGACUGGGCGAUCUAAUCCCUUUGUAUGAUAAAGGCUCGCCAUGCCGAGAGUGGUUGCCAGAUCGUGGACAUGGUGCUUCAGAGGGUUAGUUCUUAACGUCGUACUCCAGCUCUGCACUCACCCGUGUUUUAUCUGCUAUUUUUUCCCUUUUUACCUCCCAGAAACCUGGCAACAAGCUGAAGAAGCAGCAGUAGAUGUGUGAGGUUGCCCAUUGAGUGCUUCGGACAGUGGAUGAUGACCGGUGUGACUACCAGGAUUUUUCCUCCCUCUGCAUCAUACUCAAAAAAAUGCUUGGUUUCUUGUAUUCUGUCACAGACAAACCUUAAUAUUUGUAAGAUAGAAAGCUAUGUAACAAAAAGACAAAUACACAGUUUGCAAAGCAAUGUUAAUAAACCGAAGCUCAGUCAGA